CGGACUGUGGCGCAGCUUGGUAGCGCACUACACUAGGGGUCGCAGGUUCAAAUCCUGUCAGUCCGA
rnacentral:tRNA from 1 species